UACGGAGGGUGCGAGCGUUGUCCGGAAUCACUGGGCGUAAAGGGCGCGUAGGCGGCCUGAUAAGUAGGGGGUGAAAUCUUGCGGCUUAACCGCAAGGCUGCCUUCUAAACUGUCGGGCUAGAGCACAGUAGAGGCAGGUGGAAUUCCAGGUGUAGCGGUGAAAUGCGUAGAUAUCUGGAGGAACACCGGUGGCGAAGGCGGCAUCCUGGACCGGCAUUGACGCUGAGGCGCGAAAGCCAGGGGAGCAAACGGG
rnacentral:rRNA from 1 species